rnacentral:lncRNA from 1 species
UUUGCGUAGCUGCUGCAAAGGAGCGAGGGAGGAGAGAAACAGACGACAGCCAUGGUGUCCGUAAAGCUCCAGAAGAGGCUCGCCGCGAGCGUCAUGAAGUGCGGCAAGAAGAAGGUCUGGCUCGAUCCAAAUGAGGUCAACGAAAUCUCCAUGGCCAACUCUCGUACGUUUCUCGUCGUCUCCCUUUUGCCUCUACUUUCGAUCUAUUUGUAGUUUCAUUCAUUUGAUUCUUGCCGAGAAAAUGGAAUUCCGUAGUUUACUUCCUUCUAUUAGAUGGUUCGAUAAUUGUUUUACUGCGUGAGUAAGCUGGAGUAGUGACACUAGCUCCAACAUAUGCACCUUUGAAGUUUAAUAUUCGCUACUUCCUAUAAGCGAUCAUCUAGCUUCUCUGUUGCCAAUCAUUGUUACUGUAUUCAUAUUGCCUUGUUUCAUCUGCAGGCCAAAACAUCAGGAAGCUUGUCAAGGAUGGGUUCAUCAUCAGGAAGCCAACCAAUAUCCACUCCCGCUCUCGUGCUCGACGCAUGAAUGAAGCCAAGAAGAAGGGCCGUCAUUCUGGUUACGGUAUGAUGUCUUCUCUUCAUAUUUCAACUUUUGAUGGGCAAUCAGUUCACUGGAAGGACACUAGUAUAUUCAAAACCAAUGGGAUGAUUUGGUUUUAAAUGAUCUGCUGUUAUCAGUUAGUGUAUGUCACCCAUAUUACAGUAUUUUAACCUUUCCUGGUUCUGUUGUUUUGAUUUUGUAUUCAAGGUAAGAGGAAGGGUACGAGGGAGGCUAGGCUUCCAACAAAGAUCCUGUGGAUGAGGAGAAUGCGAGUUCUUAGGAGGCUUCUGAGGAAGUAUAGGGAAGCAAAGAAGAUUGACAGGCACAUGUACCAUGACAUGUACAUGAAGUGCAAAGGUAAUGUCUUUAAGAACAAGCGUGUGCUGAUGGAGAGUAUUCACAAGUCCAAGGCAGAGAAGGCCAGAGAGAAGACCUUGUCUGAUCAGUUCGAGGCUAAGAGGGCCAAGAACAAGGCUAGCAGGGAAAGGAAACAUGCCAGGAGGGAGGAACGAUUCGCCCAGGUUAGGCAUCUACUAUGUUAGGUUUAUGUUUGUAUCAGCAAGUAUAAGUCUUUGACAUCUUUUCCUGAAUUUCGUGAUGCGAUGUUAAUUGCUUUAUGUUUGUAUUCCGUUAUGUCUUGUAAUAGUUUGAUUUUCGUGUUUAGCCUAUUGAUUGGGAGUUGUUGUCUUUCGAUGCCAUUUCAGGGUCCAGUAGCUAUGGAGAAACCUGCUGCUGCUCCAGCCGUUGUUGCACCUCAAGGGUGAGUUCCUGGUUUUGCAGGUUUUUCAAUUUUCAAAUACAGUAUUGAGAUUUGGAUAUACAAUUAAUUUAUACUGUUACGAUUUGCAGAGCAUCAAAGAAAUCCAAGAAGUGAGAUUGCCUCCUAUCAAGUCACUUGAGGUUUUGAUAGAUUUGCUUUCAUGUCUAAGUUGGUUUCCUAGCAGAUAGUUUUCUUAAUUUGACAGUGUUGAACUAUCGAUCUGUUCGGUUUUUGUGGUAAAUCGUAUGAACCUUGUUAUAAUAGACCCGUUUUCGACAUAUCUGCGUUUUCACUGCACAAUGCUUUGCUCUGUUGGUUUCUUUUUACGUCUCCCGUCUCCAAGUUUGAAGAAGAAGAAACCGUUUUUGGUGGUCGAAACGGUCGAUUGAUGAUUCAAUUUUUUAUCUAAACACGAGCUUCGACACAUUUAAAGGUAAACUUGGAGUUGUGUUGCAAUUGCUGCAUCCAAACGACCCAGAAGGGAUUUCAAGGUGAGACUUGGUAGAGUUUAAGUACUUUUUGAGAUAAAGAAGCUGUUCGACACUUAUCCCAGACCUUCACCUUGACCAGUGAAUCCCUUUUGUGUUAAAAUUCGGUUAUUUAACGUCGCUUAAUCUCACCUAAUUCCACUUAGGGUCAAGUAUACUUGUUUAAUCACUACCGAGAUGUAGCGUUGCUCCUUCUAAUCCACCAUUGGAGGUCUAGGUGGUGUCGAGCUAGUAAUCACACUUAGUUUGUCUACCACGUCAAUUGAUCAUGUCUACAUUCUAUAAAUUGUAAACGGAUAAACCGAAUGAUUUUGAAAUUUUUUUUAUAGAGAUGAUAAUCGGUCAUUGCAGUUAGAAUACAACCCAGAAAAAUAUUUGAAGAAAAUUUUAUAUACAUUACAUGAGGAUGAUUAAGAAAUCUAUUUGAAGUUAAUAUGAUAUCACUCUAAAUAAUAUAGGGCCCGUUUGGUAUGUGAUAUCUCAAAUAACUAGUUAUUUGACAUAUCAUGAUAUUGAGUGAGAUUGAUAUUAAAUUAGAAAAGUACGAAUAUUCUUGUUUGGUAUAGGAUAUUGAGUGGUAGGGUUUAAGAAUGAUUAAAUGUGGUGUGGGUCUUAGUUUGUAAUAAUGAGGAGAGAAAAAAUUAUCAUUAUAGUUCUCACUUGCUUGUAACUAUUAAAUUGUCUUAAGUACAAUUAUAUCCAUCGAAUUGAAUAUCACCCCGUGAACAUGAAUAUCACAACAUUAUGAAUAGAUACAACAUUCUGAAUUUCCAUGCCUUGAGCACCAAGUAUUGUCUUAGCAAGCCUUGAGUACCAAGUAUGGCAAGAAAGUCCUGGUUGAUUCUGUCAAAUGAGCCUUGUGGAGUGUAUGCUUGCAGCCCAAUUAACACAUUUAUUAUUUUUCAGGUGUUGGUAUUUAAUUCUAUCUACUGUAAUCUCUCUUUAUUCUAAAUUAGAUAAAUUUCGAAUCAUAAUAAAAAAAGUCGUACUCAUGUUAAUGGUAACUUGUAUGCAAGAAGUAAGGAUUUUAAAACGAUCACCAAUCUAUUCCCAGGGACGAAGUUAGGAUUUUUGCAUUUUAAAGGUUGGAUAAUUAAAAAUAUAGUUUUAUUUUAAUAUUACACAAUUUUUUUUAAUAUUACUAAAAUCGCUUAAAAUUAUGUUUGAAUUAACAAUUUGACAAAGUGUAUAUGUUUAUGUCUAAAAUUUUGUUCUUUAAAAAAAAAAUUCUGAGAUAAAAAGCAAAAAAUUUGUAUAUAACGAGUCAAUUAGUAAAUAUAUAAAUUAAAGAAGACGAGACAACAUUCUCAAUACAUAAUAAAGGAUAACGCAUUACAUAUUACACUUUAGUUUUAAGAUUUGGAAGGCAAACUAACAAAGUAAUAAACAAAAUUUUUAAAAAAGGAGUUGGGUUUUGAAUUAGUGACCUCAAACUCAAUAAUCUAACUCCGUCCUUAUUUAUAUCCUUAAAUUAAAUAAUGAUUCAAAUACAUAUAUUUCGUUCGAACAUGAUUUAUAGAGUUAUAUUCGGUCAUACAUUCAAAAUAACUAUCAUUCGGCAACGUCCUCCAUCUUUUAUGAUUUUUUCACAUAAAAUUUGAUAUUUAUAGUUGAAAAAUUUCUUAGCAAUCUCUUUAUUCUCUAUUGAUGGCUUUCUCCGUUAGUUUAACCUUAUAAGCACAAUAAACAGUGAUGAGGAACAUCGUAUGGACAGCAAAAAGAUAAGAAGAAAAAGUUAUCGUCAUGAAAGAUGAAGAGUCUCGCAAAGAGUCAGUUAAUUUUCAAAGUUCAAACAAAAACAAAAUAUAAUUAUUCAAUUUUGAAAAUAUAUAAUUUAAACUAUUUUUUUUUUUGUUAGAGGUAACAGUCAAACUAAAGUAAAAUUAUAAUAUAUGAUUUAUAUUAUUGAAGUUGAUUAGGUACUGCUUGAACUCCAACUCAGAUAUAACGGAAAAGUUAGAUGGAAGGUCUAAGAAAUAACCAAUUUGUUACAAUAGGGAUAACUGAGUGAUAGAUAAGUUCCAUUUGAUAAGUGAGUUAUCAUCUGGUUAUCACUAACAAGUAAAAUGAUCAAAAUGGACAAUUUCCCCAAAACCCUAGACAGAAUUUGGGCCUCGUAUAUAUAUAUAUUCACAGUAGUUGCCUCUUCCAACCUCUCGGUUUGCAGCUGCUGCAAAGGAAGGAGUGAGGGAGAAACAGACCAACAGCCAUGGUGUCCGUCAAGCUCCAG